GACAUAGGAGGCGAGCGUUAUCCGGAUUUAUUGGGCGUAAAGUGCGUUGAGGCGGUCUCGUAAGUUGGACGUGAAAGCUCCCGGCUUAACUGGGAGAGGCCGUUCAAUACUGCGAGGCUAGAGGGUAGCAGAGGGGGGUGGAAUUCCCGGUGUAGUGGUGAAAUGCGUAGAUAUCGGGAGGAACACCAGUGGCGAAGGCGGCCCCCUGGGUUACACCUGACGCUGAAGGCGAAAGCUAGGGUAGCAAACGGG
rnacentral:rRNA from 1 species